rnacentral:rRNA from 1 species
UACAGAGGGUGCAAGCGUUAAUCGGAAUUACUGGGCGUAAAGCGUGCGUAGUCGGUUAUUUAAGUCGGAUGUGAAAUCCCCCGGGCUCAACCUGGGAAUUGCAUUCGAUACUGGAUAGCUAGAGUUCGGCAGAGGGAAGCGGAAUUUCGGGUGUAGCGGUGAAAUGCGUAGAUAUCCGAAGGAACAUCAGUGGCGAAAGCGGCUUCCUGGACCAGAACUGACGAUCAGGCACGAA